rnacentral:ncRNA from 11 species
AAUUGGAUUGAGCCUUGGUAUGGAAACCUACUAAGUGAUAAUUUUCAAAUUCAGAGAAACCUUGGAAUUAAUAAAAAGGGCAAUCCUGAGCCAAAUCCUAUUUUUUUGAAAAAAUAAAAAAAAAAAUAAAGAUAGGUGCAGAGGUGCAGAGACUCAAUGGAACGCUGUUCUCAAAUGGAGUUGGUGAAGAGGGGUAUAUACAGAGUGUAUCAAACGAUUCACCCACAGCGUGUAGAUUUUUUCACGAACGAAUUAUUAUUCAUCAUCGGAUUAGAAUAAAGAGAGAGUCCCGUUCUGCAUGUCAAUGCCGACAACAAUGAAAUUUAUAGGAAGAGG